rnacentral:lncRNA from 12 species
ACCUCAAACAUCUCAUGACUUUUUAUUUCUCUUAGAGGUCUCAACUCAGAAGCCUUAAGGACCAGGCAAUGAGAGAAGACAGUAGCUUGUGAGUGCACAUGUUCACUCCAAAUCCUGCAGCAGAAAAAUCCUCCCUUCAGACACCCCCCACUCAGUCUCCCAUCCCUCUGAUCCACAAUCAAAUUUGCAUCUUUCUUAUCUUUCUUACUCUGUUCUCUGGUCCAAAAAACUAAUCAGAGAAAAAGUUCAGCAUCAAAAAGACCUAGAUCCCAAUGGUAGCUCUGUCACUUACAAGCCAUUGACCUUGGCUAAGUCAGUGGCUUCAAUCUGUCUGAGAUUUCCUUAUCUACAAACUGGAUGUAACAGCACAGAUCCUACCAGCUCCUGGAGAGGGAAUGAGAUGCUGAGAUGCCACAUGUGAAAACACCCUGGAAACUGUAAUAUGCUAAUCAAAGAUGAAGUAUGAUUGUUAUUAUCCCUGAAUCCAGUGCUGCUAUGGCAUGUGGUCAUCUUUUCACCAAAUGUCCUUAGAUUUCUUGGAGAAGGAGGUGGGUGUUACAGUCUGGUACAGCAGUGAGGCAGAACUUUAUGUUUUAGGAGGGAAGUUGGCAUUUUAAAUUCCUAUAUAUAUAUAUAUAUAUAUAUAUAUGCAACUGAUGAACUACCGAACUCUGGGGAGGUGGGUGGGAGGAUGGGGUAAUUGGGUGAUGGGCACGUGAUAUGAUGAGCACUGGGUGUUAGGCCAAACAAAUGAAUUAUUGAACACUGUAUUUGAAACUAAUGAUGUACUUACUAUAUGUUGGCUAAUUAAAUUUAUAUUAAAAUUAAAAAAUUAAAUUGCCAUAUUUUGCUACCUCUGAGAUAUCAUGAGGAUAUGAAAUCAUACCUUCUCUGUUCUGGAAUGAGCCAUUUGAGUAAAUCCUAUUAGCUACCUAAACAGAGUAAGCAUCCAUUAGUCUGGAAGAAGGAGGAACACUUGUUUUUGUUUGUUUUGUUUGAAGAGCUUGGGGCUUCAAUUCUACAGGCAGAUGGGGUCUUGUUGCCAAAGUGAAUGAUUCAGAAGGAGGGCAUGUGCCCAGAAAGUUCCAUCAGAAUUAAGCUCUGAGCUUUUUAUUCAGUGGCUAUCUGGAUGGAGGCCAGCUCUCUUCUCACUUGAACAAAGAAGCAUGUGGCCCAGGUGAUGUUAGACAUCUUAUGACCACAAGGGACACCUGCCUGAGGAUAAAACCAAUGUAGCAGAACACAGAGUUGAGAGAUUUUAGAGAAACUGAACUGGAGCUCUGACAAAACUCAUUGGUCUUAACAGUUACAUGCGCCAGUGGCUCACCUUUAUUGCCUAAGCCAGUUUGUAUUGGGCUUUCUAAUUCUAGAUACUGAUAGCAAAGUCCUCCUAAAUGGUAUAGGGUCUGACGGUUUCUGGA